GAUGAACGCUGGCGGCGUGCCUAAUACAUGCAAGUCGAGCGAACAGACGAGGAGCUUGCUCCUCUGACGUUAGCGGCGGACGGGUGAGUAACACGUGGAUAACCUACCUAUAAGACUGGGAUAACUUCGGGAAACCGGAGCUAAUACCGGAUAAUAUAUUGAACCGCAUGGUUCAAUAGUGAAAGACGGUUUUGCUGUCACUUAUAGAUGGAUCCGCGCCGCAUUAGCUAGUUGGUAAGGUAACGGCUUACCAAGGCAACGAUGCGUAGCCGACCUGAGAGGGUGAUCGGCCACACGGGAACUGAGACCCGGUCCAGACUCCUACGGGAGGCAGCAGUAGGGAAUCUUCCGCAAUGGGCGAAAGCUUGACGGAGCAACGCCGCGUGAGUGAUGAAGGUCUUCGGAUCGUAAAACUCUGUUAUUAGGGAAGAACAAAUGUGUAAGUAACUAUGCACGUCUUGACGGUACCUAAUCAGAAAGCCACGGCUAACUACGUG
rnacentral:rRNA from 1 species